ensembl:lncRNA
AAGGGCACUACGACUUUAGGAACCGAGAAAGUUUAUAAACAGAAAUCACUGUAAGAAGAAAUAAGGAGUGAAAGUUUUGAUGAAAGAUGUGUCAGUCUUCUGAAAACACAGAGUGCUCUUCAAGGAAAACUUAACAAGUUGCUCAAACACCUGCUUGCUAUGAGGCAAACACUGAGCUGCAUAUUUGCCCCAGGACAGGAGUCUUGGGAGAGAGCUUACCACAUCCCCGCAGCAGCAGAUAAAUCAUGUGACUAGAUGUCAUCAGUCUCUGGAGGAAUGCGAUAGAGUUGCUUAUUUUGACACUUCUUGUGCCAUCUGUGCCGUGGAUUGGUGCUAAAACGUUGGGAUGAAGAUGAAGCCAGUCUAACAGGGCGGCAUAUUAAUACCUGGCUGGAGUCAGAGAAUGCCCGCAGCCACACAAGAGUGGGCUUCACAAGUUCCGCUUUUCAUGCAACUUUCAGCGUGAGGAUUCAAACUUCAAGUGGUGGGUGUAUUUUAAAGAUUUUUGACUUCAAACAAGAAAAACAAGAAACUUCCUGGAAUGGAAGAAAAAGGAGGAGGAGGAGAACUAAGAGAAACACCAGAUGUGAAAGGACUCAAAAUGUCUGGCAACAAGGGUAGAUAAACAGAACUUAUUGCACAAGUAUAAACUUAUUAAGAUAAAAAAUAUCAGAAAGGCACUAAGCAAUUACAGUUUUGUAAGUACAGCUAUUUUUAAGCAUCUUUUGUUACUAAUGGAAGUAAAAUCAAUUCCUGUUUAAAUACAGUAGACAAAAAGUGCAAGUAAUUUCAAAUUUAUUAAGCUGUCCUUGAGAUCAGUUCUACCACUGUGUAGUAGUGAAGGAAACAUCGUGAGUGUCAUCUCUUUUUCAUUUUCUUCAAAAAAUGGGUAUUUCGGUUUAUAAAUGAAGACCUUUAUCCUUUAUGCCCAGACUUUCUUGUUGUGCUUUCUGUGUUUUUAUGUUGCUCUGUGUGAAAUGAAGAUAAGUUUCUCUAGAAAUGUCUGAAGAAAUUAUGGCUUAAACAAAACCAGAGUAUGUCCCAGGGAAGCUUUCAUCAACAGUACGGAGUGCCUUGAUUUUCAGCAAAGAAGUGAGAACUGAGAAAGAAUUAGCUAGCGGGUUUGUGGAUGGCCGUGCAAAGUGAAUCUGCUCAGUCUAAUGUGGUGUUUUGUGUGCGAUGUACACAAACGUAAAUGACUGCAGAGUUAAAGAUGCUGAAGGGUCUUUUACACUUCUACUGUAAGGAUAGUUUGAUAGAGUGACAGCUCUAAUUCAUUUUUGUUGGGGAGGGAAUCUCAAAAAACCCCAAUUCAUUCAGCCUCAUUGUAAAAAAAGGGUUGAAACAUACAAUUAUGUGACAGAUUGUCACCGCUUACCUCACUAAUGAAAUCACAGGAGAGCAGGGUGUUGGGACUUUCUGAUUUUCCUGCGUGACCAUCUUUGUGAUAUUGGGGAUAACGGGGGAUCUUCUCACUAAGCAUUACUGUGCAGACAUGGCAAUCAGUGGUGCUGAGCUUCUAGUUAGCACACGUGCUGUCAACAUUUCUCCUUUUGGUUUGGUUAUUUCUUCAUUUUAAUGAAAGCUGUUAUGCAGAAUUCCCUGGGAUUUUGAUAGAGCG